CCUGAUUGACAGUAACCAACACAUGGCCACUAACAGGCGCCAGCUUUCCCACGCACCAGUUUCAGCAGCGCAACCACGCACACGCAGCAAGGGAGAAGGACAAGAAUUUCUGCAGGGUAACAUAUAGGCGCUGCUGCUGCUGUAGAAGACGCGAGAAAAUACAUCAAACAAGUGUUGCGGACGGCUUCCCUCGGAGUAGAGGCUCCCCUAACAGACAGCAGCAUCCCCAGACGCCACGCCUAAACAUCUUCUCCCUUGUAGCCUCUGUACUACGCGGCGGAUUCACUCACAAGCACCAUUGCUUUAGGAAUGAACCACCGAGUUUUCCUGCUUAUGGGGAAGUAACUGUCAUGUGAGCGUUUCCUAUAGGCUGGACUCACAUACCAGAACAUGUAUGGCUCCGCCCCUUUACCCCCUCUGCGUCUGACAGAUGGCCGGGUCCACAGUCUUACAAAUUCCCCCUCCCACGUGCUGCUUGAGCUGUGUGCCUGGGUGUAGCAAGCGCAUGGGAAGCAUCCUCCUCAUCAUCUUUGCCUCUAGGUUCUUCCUCACUGAGUCCUCUGCAGCGCCUUCCUGCGUACAUACUACUUGGACUUCCCACUCUCCUACCUUGGACUGGCCAGAGAAAUGCUAUACCUUUUGGCUGCUGGCAAGUUGAUGCUUUAUUUGACGCUUGAGAAUAGAGAAUAUUUGGCACAGUAAACCAUGCAACCAAUCAGUUAUGGUACAGAAACAUAAAACAUGGAACUCGAUAGCUUGCUGGUGUCCAAAGAAAAAGAUAUUCUUUACUGCUUACUCAAGAUGAAUGGCCGGCAAGUAUUAUAUACCCAAACUUACUUCUCCAUUCUUUUAAAAAUGUUAACUAUCAACAUUUAUGGAACCUUUAUGUUAUUCUAAUUUAAAUGUAGAGCAAAAUGGCUAUAUCCAUUUAAUCUGGGAAGUCCUCUGAGCUGCAUUAAUACCAUUCUAAUUACUUACUACCUUUCUAAAGGAGAAUCAAGCUCAAUAAUCAAUACUCAGUGGUCGGAGCUGGUGAUGUUGAUAUUUUACUCUAGUGCUAGUUGGACCUAGUAAAAAUCUAAACAAGGUGUGUUUACGCUAACGCCUUUAGUACAUUAAAG